rnacentral:rRNA from 1 species
GUGAACGUUGGCGGCGCGUCUAAUACAUGCAAGUCGAGUGGGUUUAGGCCCACGGCGGACGGCUGAGUAACAUGUUGGUAGCUGCCCCCCAUUCAGGUAUAACCUUUCGAAAGAAAGAUUAAUACCGGAUAGUCCCGCAAGGGUAAAGAUUUAUCGAUGGGGGAGGCGCCUGCGUCCUAUCAGUUAGUUGGUGAGGUAAUGUCUCACCAAGACUAUGACGGGUAGCUGGUCUGAGAGGAUGACCAGCCAGAGGGAAACUGAGACACGGUUCCCACUCCUACGGGAGGCAGCAGUAAAGAAUCUUACGCAAUGGACGAAGGUCUGACGGAGCGACGCCGCGUGCAGGAUGAAGGCCUUCGGGUUGUAAACUGCUUUUCUGAAAGAAUAAUUCUGAAGGUAUUUCAGGAAUAAGUACCGGCAAAUCUCGU